CCUACGGGAGGCAGCAGUGAGGAAUAUUGGUCAAUGGGCGGAAGCCUGAACCAGCCAAGUCGCGUGAGGGAUUAAGGCCCUGCGGGUCGUAAACCUCUUUUGCCGGGGAGCAGAGGUCCGGACGUGUCCGGGCCGGAGAGUACCCGGAGAAAAAGCAUCGGCUAACUCCGUGCCAGCAGCCGCGGUAAUACGGAGGAUGCGAGCGUUAUCCGGCUUUAUUGGGUUUAAAGGGUGCGUAGGCGGGCAAUUAAGCCGGCGGUCAAAUGUAGGGGCUCAACCCCGGACUGCCGGUGAAACUGGGUGCAGUGAGUGGGCGAGAAGUAUGCGGAAUGCGUGGUGUAGCGGUGAAAUGCAUAGAUAGCACGCAGAACCCCGAUUGCGAAGGCAGCAUACCGGCGCCCUACUGACGCUGAGGCACGAAAGUGCGGGUAUCGAACAGGAUUAGAUACCCCUGUAGUC
rnacentral:rRNA from 1 species